rnacentral:snRNA from 1 species
GUCAGGGGCAUUUUGGUCAGU